rnacentral:rRNA from 1 species
GCUGAGGUGUGAUGACGAGGCACUACGGUGCUGAAGUAACAAAUGCCCUGCUUCCAGGAAAAGCCUCUAAGCAUCAGGUAACAUCAAAUCGUACCCCAAACCGACACAGGUGGUCAGGUAGAGAAUACCAAGGCGCUUGAGAGAACUCGGGUGAAGGAACUAGGCAAAAUGGUGCCGUAACUUCGGGAGAAGGCACGCUGGUGUGUAGGUGAAGUCCCUGCGGAUGGAGCUGAGACCAGUCGAAGAUACCAGCUGGCUGCAACUGUUUAUUAAAAACACAGCACUGUGCAAACACGAAAGUGGACGUAUACGGUGUGACGCCUGCCCGGUGCCGGAAGGUUAAUUGAUGGGGUUAUCCGUAAGGAGAAGCUCUUGAUCGAAGCCCCGGUAAACGGCGGCCGUAACUAUAACGGUCCUAAGGUAGCGAAAUUCCUUGUCGGGUAAGUUCCGACCUGCACGAAUGGCGUAAUGAUGGCCAGGCUGUCUCCACCCGAGACUCAGUGAAAUUGAACUCGCUGUGAAGAUGCAGUGUACCCGCGGCAAGACGGAAAGACCCCGUGAACCUUUACUAUAGCUUGACACUGAACAUUGAGCCUUGAUGUGUAGGAUAGGUGGGAGGCUUUGAAGCGUGGACGCCAGUCUGCGUGGAGCCAACCUUGAAAUACCACCCUUUAAUGUUUGAUGUUCUAACGUUGGCCCCUGACCGGGGUUGCGGACAGUGUCUGGUGGGUAGUUUGACUGGGGCGGUCUCCUCCCAAAGCGUAACGGAGGAGCACGAAGGUUAGCUAAUCCUGGUCGGACAUCAGGAGGUUAGUGCAAUGGCAUAAGCUAGCUUGACUGCGAGCGUGACGGCGCGAGCAGGUGCGAAAGCAGGUCAUAGUGAUCCGGUGGUUCUGAAUGGAAGGGCCAUCGCUCAACGGAUAAAAGGUACUCCGGGGAUAACAGGCUGAUACCGCCCAAGAGUUCAUAUCGACGGCGGUGUUUGGCACCUCGAUGUCGGCUCAUCACAUCCUGGGGCUGAAGUAGGUCCCAAGGGUAUGGCUGUUCGCCAUUUAAAGUGGUACGCGAGCUGGGUUUAGAACGUCGUGAGACAGUUCGGUCCCUAUCUGCCGUGGGCGCUGGAGAAUUGAGGGGGGCUGCUCCUAGUACGAGAGGACCGGAGUGGACGCAUCACUGGUGUUCGGGUUGUCAUGCCAAUGGCACUGCCCGGUAGCUAAAUGCGGAAGAGAUAAGUGCUGAAAGCAUCUAAGCACGAAACUUGCCCCGAGAUGAGUUCUCCCUGAGACUUUAAGUCUCCUGAAGGAACGUUAAAGACGAUGACGUUGAUAGGCCGGGUGUGUAAGCGCAGCGAUGCGUUGAGCUAACCGGUACUAAUGAACCGUGAGGCUUAACC